GAGGACCUUGUUGAUGGUGUUGGAGCCAGCGAGGAGGUACUACUACUACUACUUCGUCGUCUUCGACUUCUUCAUCUUCAAGAGUCGAAUCAGCUUUUACGGCAUUCCGAAAGUUGCAGCCAGGCAGGAGAGGCAGGGCAGGCACGCAGGCUGCGACUGGGUCCGCACCAGCGGCAUCAGGAGUAGCAGCAGGCAGGAGGCGCAGCAGUAUUAGCAGCAUCAUCAUCAUCAUCCACUUUGCUUCUCGUCCUUGUGGAGCCCUGCCUUGCCUUGCCUUGCCUCGCCUCGUCUGCCCACUGCACCGUCAUCGUCCGCGACGCACUGUGCUGAAACAUUAGAGACUAUGGCGUUCAAUGUGUGGCGCAAUUUGAUGGUAGUCACCUUCUCAGGGUUUAAGCCCUACCUGGAGGCUGGCGCAGGGUGGCUGGCGCAGAUGAAGCAGGGCAUGAAGGUGCUGCUGAUGGUGCACAACCCGAUGAGGCAAAACGGAAAGGCAUCUUCCCACGUUACGCAUAGAAUAAGAAUGGCCAGUAUGCAUUUGUCCAUGGAUGAGGUAUCUAAGACCUACAAAAUUACUCCCGUCCGCAGACUGUAAUAGCUUCAUUUUGAGUGCUUGUGUAUAGAAGUAGCAGCAGGAUUCACUAGAGGUCGCCAAAUGGCAGACCCAAAAGAUCGCUUCUCGUUUUGUAUACGAACCAUUCGAUUUGUGUUCUUGGGCUCAAUCAGUGAUCCAAAGUGGGUGCUGGUGCUCACCAGAUCUGUAUCCCGUUUACUAUGUACAGUUUUGUGUCUAUUAAUGUACCAGUGAAGGAGGUGGUCAUUUAUACUCUCUGCCUCAAACUCUAAUGUCAAA